AGCAGCCGCGGUAAUUCCAGCUCCAAUAGCGUAUAUUAAAGUUGUUGCAGUUAAAAAGCUCGUAGUUGAAUUUCGGGGUCAGUAGAUUGGUCAUGCCACUGGUAUGUACUGGUCUCACUGAUUCCUCCUUCCUGAUGAGCCGUAAUGCCAUUAAUUUGGUGUUGCGAGGAAUCUGGACUGUUACUUUAGAAAAAAUUAGAGUGUUUAAAGCAGGCUAACGCUUGAAUACAUUAGCAUGGAAUAAUGAAAUAGGACGUUCGAUCUUAUUUUGUUGGUUUCUAAGAUUGACGUAAUGAUUAAUAGGGAUAGUUGGGGGCAUUAGUAUUCAAUUGUCAGAGGUGAAAUUCUUGGAUUAUAUUGAAGACUAACUACUGCGAAGCAUUUGCCAAGGAUGUUUUCAUUAAUCAAGAACGAAAGUUAGGGGAUACGAAGACGAUCAGAUACCGUCGUAGUACUUAACCAUAAAUAUGCCGACGUACGGAGGUACGUAGUAGUGUAGUUUAAUUUUUAAUUUAGUACU
rnacentral:rRNA from 1 species